CCCUGACGCAGCAACGCCGUGUGAGUGAUGAAGGCCUUCGGGUCGUAAAACUCUGUCAAGUGGGAAGAACCUGUCCCGUGCCAAUACCACGGGACACUGACGGUACCACUGGAGGAAGCACCGGCUAACUCCGUGCCAGCAGCCGCGGUAAUACGGAGGGUGCAAGCGUUAUUCGGAAUUACUGGGCGUAAAGGGCGCGUAGGCGGCUCUUUAAGUCAGGCGUGAAAGCCCGGGGCUCAACCCCGGAAGUGCGUUUGAAACUAGGGAGCUUGAGUACGGGAGAGGGAAGUGGAAUUCCUGGUGUAGAGGUGAAAUUCGUANAUAUCAGGAGGAACACCGGUGGCGAAGGCGACUUCCUGGACCGAUACUGACGCUGAGGCGCGAAAGCGUGGGGAGCAAACAGGAUUAGAGACCCUGGUAGUCCACGCCGUAAACGAUGAACACUAGGUGUAGCGGGUAUUGACCCCUGCUGUGCCGUAGCUAACGCAUUAAGUGUUCCGCCUGGGGACUACGGUCGCAAGGCUAAAACUCAAAG
rnacentral:rRNA from 1 species